rnacentral:rRNA from 1 species
AUCAAUAAGCGGAGGAAAAGAAAAUAACAAUGAUUCCCUCAGUAACGGCGAGUGAACAGGGAAAAGCUCAAAGUUGGAACCUCCUAGCCCUAGGCUCGGCGGAUUGUAAACUAAAGCUGUUGAGUAGUUCGGUUAGCCUGGUAAAAAAGUUCUCUGGAAAGGGACGACAUGGAGGGUGAAAUCCCCGUCUUUGGCCAGAGCAUAAUCCUACGUUUGCUCGAUAGCGAAGAGUCAGGUUGUUGGGUAAUGCAGCUUAAAAUGGGAGGUAAAUCUCUCCUAAAGCUAAAUAUUGACGAAAGACCGAUAGCGAACAAGUACCGUGAGGGAAAGAUGAAAAGCACUUUGAAAAGAGGGUCAAAAAGUACGUGAAAUUGCUGAAAGGGAACCGUAUGAAAUCAGCCUGAUCUUUUGGUAAUCAACCUGGGCUUUGGCCUGGGUGCACUUGCCGAUGGAUUAGCCUACGACAAUUCGGUCUCAAGGAAAAAAUUAGGGGGAAUGUGGCCUACGUUUCGGCGGAGGUGUUAUAGCCCUUUGAAAAAUACUUGGGACUGGAUUGAGGCAUGCAGCGAGCCUUUAUUGGUAUUGGGUCUCGGGUGCUUUGUGUUAACUGGGCGGAAAUCUCUACUUUAAGGUAGUGUUCGUCUUUUUGGCAUUAACUCGCCUGUUCUCUUAUUCUCGCUAGGUCGUAGC